rnacentral:rRNA from 1 species
UACGAAGGGAGCUAGCGUUGUUCGGAAUCACUGGGCGUAAAGCGCACGUAGGCGGAUGUGUCAGUCAGGGGUGAAAUCCCGGAGCUCAACUCCAGAACUGCCUUUGAUACUGGCGAUCUCGAGUCCGGGAGAGGUGAGUGGAACUGCGAGUGUAGAGGUGAAAUUCGUAGAUAUUCGCAAGAACACCAGUGGCGAAGGCGGCUCACUGGCCCGGUACUGACGCUGAGGUGCGAAAGCGUGGGGAGCAAACAGG